UGGGGAAUAUUGGGCAAUGGGGGAAACCCUGACCCAGCAACGCCGCGUGAAGGAAGAAGGCCUUCGGGUUGUAAACUUCUUUUAUCCAGGGAGCGAAGGAAGUGACGGUACCUGGAGAAAAAGCAACGGCUAACUACGUGCCAGCAGCCGCGGUAAUACGUAGGUUGCGAGCGUUGUCCGGAUUUACUGGGUGUAAAGGGCGUGUAGGCGGAGAAGCAAGUUGGGAGUGAAAUCUAUGGGCUCAACCCAUAAACUGCUCUCAAAACUGUUUCCCUUGAGUAUCGGAGAGGCAAGCGGAAUUCCUAGUGUAGCGGUGAAAUGCGUAGAUAUUAGGAGGAACACCAGUGGCGAAGGCGGCUUGCUGGACGACAACUGACGCUGAGGCGCGAAAGCGUGGGGAGCAAACAGGAUUAGAUACC
rnacentral:rRNA from 1 species